ACUGAACGCUGGCGGCAGGCUUAACACAUGCAAGUCGAGCGGAGAUGAGGUGCUUGCACCUUAUCUUAGCGGCGGACGGGUGAGUAAUGCUUAGGAAUCUGCCUAUUAGUGGGGGACAACAUUCCGAAAGGAAUGCUAAUACCGCAUACGUCCUACGGGAGAAAGCAGGGGAUCUUCGGACCUUGCGCUAAUAGAUGAGCCUAAGUCGGAUUAGCUAGUUGGUGGGGUAAAGGCCUACCAAGGCGACGAUCUGUAGCGGGUCUGAGAGGAUGAUCCGCCACGCUGGGACUGAGACACGUCCCAGACUCCUACGGGAGGCAGCAGUGGGGAAUAUUGGACAAUGGGGGGAACCCUGAUCCAGCCAUGCCGCGUGUGUGAAGAAGGCCUUAUGGUUGUAAAGCACUUUAAGCGAGGAGGAGGCUACUGAGACUAAUACUCUUGGAUAGUGGACGUUACUCGCAGAAUAAGCACCGGCUAACUCUGUGCCAGCAGCCGCCGUAACAC
rnacentral:rRNA from 1 species